rnacentral:rRNA from 1 species
CCAGCCCGCUCAGAAACUUAAAGGAAGUUGACGGGGCCCGCACAAGCGGUGGAGCACGUGGUUUAAUUCGAUGAUACGCGAGGAACCUUACCUGGGCUCGAACGUAAGAUGACUGUAGGUGAAAGCUUACAUCUCUUCGGAGCAUUUUACGAGGUGCUGCAUGGUUGUCGUCAGCUCGUGCCGUGAGGUGUCGGUUAAGUCCCAUAACGAGCGCAACCCUACCUUUAGUUGCCAUCAGGUAAUGCUGGGGACUCUAAAGGAACUGCCUACGCAAGUAGUGAGGAAGGCGGGGAUGACGUCAAAUCAGCACGGCCCUUACGUCCAGGGCUACACACGUGCUACAAUGGCCGAUACAGAGGGCAGCUACCUGGUGACAGGAUGCAAAUCUCCAAAGUCGGUCUCAGUUCGGAUCGGAGUCUGCAACCUGACUCCGUGAAGUUGGAUUCGCUAGUAAUCGCGCAUCAGCCAUGGCGCGGUGAAUACGUUCCCGGGCCUU